AUUGAACGCUGGCGGCAGGCCUAACACAUGCAAGUCGAACGAGUGGCGGACGGGUGAGCAAUGUCUGGGAAACUGACUGAUGGAGGGGGAUAACUACUGGAAACGGUAGCUAAUACCGCAUACCAUCAGAUGUGCCGAGAUGGGAUUAGCUAGUGGGUGGGGUAACGGCUCACCAGGGCGACGAUCCCUAGCUGGUCUGAGAGGAUGACCAGCCACACGUGAACGGAGACACGUUCCAGACUCCUACGGGAGGCAGCAGUGGGGAAUAUUGCACAAUGGGCGAAAGCCUGAUGCAGCCAUGCCGCGUGUAUGAAGAAGGCCUUCGGGUUGUAAAGUACUUUCAGCGGGGAGGCGUUACCCGCAGAAGAAGCACCGGCUAACUCCGUGCCAGCAGCCGCGGUAAUUC
rnacentral:rRNA from 1 species